rnacentral:rRNA from 1 species
UACGUAGGGUGCGAGCGUUGUCCGGAAUUACUGGGCGUAAAGAGCUCGUAGGUGGUUUGUCGCGUUGUUCGUGAAAUCUCACGGCUUAACUGUGAGCGUGCGGGCGAUACGGGCAGACUUGAGUACUGCAGGGGGAGACUGGAAUUCCUGGUGUAGCGGUGGAAUGCGCAGAUAUCAGGAGGAACACCGGUGGCGAAGGCGGUUCUCUGGGAAUAUCCUGACGCUGAGGAGCGAAAGUGUGGGAGAGAACAGG